UACCAGCGCCACAAGUGGGGAUCAUAUUUAUUUGGCCUAAAGCGUCCGUAGCUGGUUAGACAAAUCUUUUGUGAAAUCGUGGGGCUUAACUCCACGGCGUGCAGGAGACACUAUCUGACUUGAAACCGGGAGAAGUCAAAGGUAUUCUAGGGGGAGCGGUAAAAUGUUAUAAUCCCUGGAGGACCACCUAUAGCGAAGGCAUUUGACUAGAACGGAUUUGACAGUGAGGGACGAAAGCUAGGGGAGCGAACCG
rnacentral:rRNA from 1 species